AGUCGAGCGCACCUUCGGGUGAGCGGCGGACGGGUUAGUAACGCGUGGGAACAUACCCUUUGGUACGGAAUAGCCUCUGGAAACGGAGAGUAAUACCGUAUGAGCCCUUCGGGGGAAAGAUUUAUCGCCAAAGGAUUGGCCCGCGUUAGAUUAGGUAGUUGGUGGGGUAAUGGCCUACCAAGCCUACGAUCUAUAGCUGGUUUUAGAGGAUGAUCAGCAACACUGGGACUGAGACACGGCCCAGACUCCUACGGGAGGCAGCAGUGGGGAAUCUUGGACAAUGGGGGCAACCCUGAUCCAGCCAUGCCGCGUGAGUGAUGAAGGCCUUAGGGUCGUAAAGCUCUUUCGCCUGUGAAGAUAAUGACGGUAGCAGGUAAAGAAACCCCGGCUAACUCCGUGCCAGCAGCCGCGGUAAUACGGAGGGGGUUAGCGUUGUUCGGAAUUACUGGGCGUAAAGCGCACGUAGGCGGACUGGAAAGUUGGGGGUGAAAUCCCAGGGCUCAACCCUGGAACUGCCUCCAAAACUAUCAGUCUAGAGUUCGAGAGAGGUGAGUGGAAUUCCGAGUGUAGAGGUGAAAUUCGUAGAUAUUCGGAGGAACACCAGUGGCGAAGGCGGCUCACUGGCUCGAUACUGACGCUGAGUGCGAAAGUGUGGGGAGCAAACAGGAUUAGAUACCCUGGUAGUCCACACCGUAAACGAUGAAUGCCAGUCGUCGGGUAGCAUGCUAUUC
rnacentral:rRNA from 1 species